UUUCGCUGUUGAAUCAGGUAAAAUGGCUUAUCCUUUGUUUGGCUACAGAGCAAGGGGAAGACAAUGGGAGUGAGAGAGAAAUUUGAAUUGCAGUUAAAAAAGGCUAAAUUUUUGUAUGGAUUCAAUCGAGUAGACUGGGUUUCGAUCUGUAAUCAAACAGAUAAGUCUUCGAAUCCUCUUAGGCUAAUGGGUCUUCUUGGAUUUCUCUUUUGCAGUAUCAAGUGAAGCAAGAA
rnacentral:misc_RNA from 1 species